AACAUUUAAAUAAAUAUUACCUAAAUAUAUUCAAGCUUCCAUCCAAAUGCAAAACAAAAUUGUACAUAGAGUAAUUGUUUUAAAGAUAUUCUUCAUGUAGAAAGAUUUGUUUGGUGUGAAAGAUUUAUCAUGAUCAGUUGCACAGACUCCACAUCAGCAGCCAUGAAUUCCAGGAGCUACAACACGCAGUCCCCCAUGGUAUCCUUCUGGGUGCAAGACAUGAAAUUUUCACACAGCCAUUAGCAUUCCUUAAAUCUCAACAGAGGACAGAGCACAAGUAACACGUACAGGUUGCUUCCUCCAACACUGCACAGCAGGGUGGAGCACGGCAACUACUCACUAGUGCCUAACAAGGGAGGAAGACAGCAUCUCUAAUGAAGCAUCAGGAGGAAUACAGGGACUCAUCGUCUCUAAUGAACUAUCAGGAGGAAUUCGGGGAGUCAUCAUGUGAAUUGCUUAAAGAGCAACUUGAGCAACACUCCUCCACGCACACAUACUUUUUUUUUUUUCUGAUGAAAGUUCAUUAAUGAAUAAAAGUACUCAGGAAUUCAGUUUUAUAUUCAUCUUCAGUGUGGACAUAAAUGGAGAAAUCAUGAGCUUUCAGUAUUCAGGUAGCAUUGCAGAUAAUUAUUAUUUACUUAUUCACUUAUUUAAGACAAGAACAUUGAAGGACCUUUUUAUUGCAACGGUAUAGGCUCAGUAUAAACGGCAAUGAUUUGAUAUUGAUUUCUUACAGGUUGUUGUUGUGGUUCUUGGUUAUUCUGUUGUUUUAUUUUGUUAUUUUUUAAUUUGUUACAGGCAUUUUCUCUCUCAAGAAAUCUUAAUUUUUGGUUAAACCUUGUAAGGAAUGUUGCAAAAUGAAGGAGAGUUUGUCAGUAAACCAAAAAUCAUCAUCAACUCCUUUAUUGUCAGGCAGCAGACCUGUUAAGCACGGCCCAGAUAAGUCCCAUGAAUCAGGAAGAGCAUAGUUGCGUGGAGGCAGAAUUGGCAAAAGCUUACAAUGAAUAAGGUCACUCUUCCCAGGCUCGUAAAAGAUGGCAGCUUUACAACUGUAGAGUAACAAAUCUGUUUUUAUUUUUUACCCACAAAAUCACGUUGUUUCCUAAGCAGUGAAGAUUUUUUAAAAGGCUCCUUUAUACGAGCAAACACAACAGAACAGUUGGCCAUGGUGGAAGAAAGGUGAAGAUAGAAAAAAAUCCACAUAAGAACGAACAACAUAUGUCAAGUGGUACAGUGCUCAGUCGUGGUCUUAAGUGUAAUAAAAACCAGGAAGUAAGCCUAAACUUUGAACUAGUCUCUGAAGAUGAUGAGUCAUAUUCUAUUUGCACUAGGAAAAUUAUAGAAAGUUUCUCACCGUUGCUAAAAUAAAUGCAUGGCAUCUAAAGAGAUGCUACAUUUCUAUCACAGUUCACAGAUUUCCAAAACAAAAUGAAUGAUGAAUAAUGUCAGAACUAGUUUGUCCUUUUGCGCUUGGACAGCAUGGAAUUACGUGACAACCUCCUGCAAAUGCAGGUUGUCCCUGUGUGACUAGGUCCAUCAAUGCAAAUGAUAUUUAGGAAGGGUCUGCUUGUCAGAAUGUAGAUUCUUAAUGCAACCUAGCAAGGCUGUUAUUCAGAGAUAUGUUAGCUCUGUACAGGCACGGCAGGGUACCUAUGUAAGCUUGUACCAUUUUCCUGCAGCAGUUGGCAACAAGCAAGAAUACUCUUGGGCGUCUCAAAUGGCACUAGACAAGUAUGUAUGGUAACUAAAUAAAACUCUGAAUGUUAACUAGUCCAAACUGUCCAUAAGAAAGAAGGAGGGAUUUGAACAAAGCAUGUAUUCAAUUAAAUUCCAUAGCUGGAGUGGUGGUGGUUUUGUUUUGUUUUGUUUUUUUACAAAAAUACCCAACAUAAUUCCAUAUGAGUUAUCAUAAAGUCCUCCACCUUCAACCUUCCUGCAAAGAAAAAUUGGCAAAUGUAAUUAAUUUGUACAAAAAUGGCACAUAGAAAAUGCAGAAUACAUUACAGAGUUGUGUAAAUCGUAGAAUCAUUAAGGCUGGAGAAGACCUCUAAGACUAUCUAGCUCAACCAUCCACCUACCACAAAUGUUGCCCACUCAACCAUGUUCCUCAGUACAUCUAAAUGUUUCUUGUACACCUCCAAGGACAGUGACUCAAUCACCUCCUUGGGCAUCCUGUUCCAUUGCCUGCCUGCUCUCUCAGAGACGAAGUUUUUCAUAAUAUCCAACCUGAACCCUGGUGCAACUUCAGGCCAUUCCCUCUAGUCCCAUCACUGUUACCUGGGUGGAGGCUGAUUCCCACCUUCCCACAAUCUCCUUUCAGGUAGAUGUAGAAGACAGUAAGGUCAUCCCUGAGCCUCCUCUUCUCCAGAAUAAACAAUCCCAGCUCACUCAUCUGCUCCUCAAAAGAUUUGUGCUCCAGAUCCCUCACAGCUUCAUUGCCCUUCUCUGGACACAUUCCAGGGCCUCAGUGUCUUUCCUGUAGCAAGAGGCACAAAACUGAACACAGUACUCAAGAUGCAGCCUUACCAGAGCUCAGGAGAUAUAUUUUCACAAAACACUUUAAAAUAAUGUAUUUGGUAUCUAAACGUAUACUUAUUAGACUCUAUUGAAUAUUCAAGAAGUCCUCAUUUACAGACUAUUUUAUUUCACAACCUUGAGGCAAAAGAGAACAUAAAAGUAAAACCAGCUAAAAUAAAACUGCAUCUUUUUUGUUACUUCCUUGGGGGAAAUGCUGUUCUGUUAAACUCCUGAGUAAGCAGAAGG
ensembl:lncRNA